rnacentral:lncRNA from 1 species
AAAGUCUUUGUGAUAACUUCAGUAAGCACAUAUAGUGGAGCAGAUGGUGGUCCUUAUUGGAGCUUUUCCCCUGUUUGGCGCCUCUCUACAGAAGCCUUUCAGGGAGUACCUUGAGGCCCAGAGGGCAAAAUUACAACACCGGGCAGGCGGGCGGCGUGCAGAAGAGGCCACCCCAAUAGUAAGUCUCAUCACUCAUACAGAGUAUCUCUUUCGUUCAACCUUUAAAUUUACCUCAAUCCCAGACGUGGCUUUUGUAUUUUUGUAUAUUUAUCCUCCAUUCCUCCUUUUAAUUUAUUACACGCACCCCUAUUUCUUUUUUGUUCCACAUCCUAAUUACCUCCCUGCCCUAAUUAUUGCUUUGAGACUGGUUUUAUUCUACCAUGUGAUUCCGUUGAGGUGUUAUUGUUUGCAUAAGGCAGACUGUAGUGUCAGGGGCUCCGCGUGGGCCAUGCGGUGGUUGGUCGCGGGGGCCUGUUCGGGGUCUGGCUGA